rnacentral:lncRNA from 1 species
GCGUGUCUAGCUUCCCUUAAACCACGAUUGUAACCGGUUACGUACAUACGGAAGGCUUUCUUAAAAAUAGCCGACCCCAUCUCAGCGGAAGCUUUAUAUUCAUCAAGAUGUGCUUCACAAGCCUCAGCUACAAACGCCUUCAAUUCAGAAGAAUCUUUGUAGUCCUGAAGGUGAACCUCACAGGCCUGCUCGAUCUUCCUCUUCAGUUCAUCAGACUCCUGAUACUCCGCUAUACAUUGCUCACGCUCUAGCUGAGCCUUGUCUUCAACAUGUUUUACUACCUUGAGCAGGGCUGAACACUUACGUUCCAAGGUCCUGACUUCAUGGUUGAGCUGUUGGUGGCGAAGGUUGAACUCUUCAGCCGACGAAGCCAGGUCUCGGAUACGAUCAGAGCUCGUACUCAAC